rnacentral:rRNA from 1 species
GGCGAGAGACCGAUAGCGAACAAGUACCGUGAGGGAAAGAUGAAAAGAACUUUGAAAAGAGAGUUAAAUAGUACGUGAAAUUGUUGAAAGGGAAACGAUUGAAGUCAGUCGUACCUGCGGAUAAUCAGCCUUUAGGAUGCGAUUUUGUGGAGUGUGAGGAGCUAAUCGCCUUCAUGCCUGUAUAUUCGUGUACUUGGGGUGUACUUAUUCGUGUGGUAAGUUAACAUCAAUUUUGGUUGUCAUAAAAUGACUGGAGGAAUGUAGCUUCGAUCUCGUAUUGAAGUGUUAUAGCCUUCGGUAGAUGUGAUUAUCGGGAUUGAGGAUCGCAACGGAUACCCUUCGGGGCUACUUGUCUGAUCUCUGAUCGUUGCUCUGGUGCCGAAAGCGUGCUUACGGUUAUCAAAGUCGAUGGUCAAUAGGUUAGAACGGGUUAAA